AAUGAACGCUGGCGGCAUGCCUAACACAUGCAAGUCGAACGAAGGCUUCGGCCUUAGUGGCGCACGGGUGCGUAACGCGUGGGAAUCUGCCCUUGGGUUCGGAAUAACAGUUAGAAAUGACUGCUAAUACCGGAUGAUGUCGUAAGACCAAAGAUUUAUCGCCCAAGGAUGAGCCCGCGUAGGAUUAGCUAGUUGGUGGGGUAAAGGCCUACCAAGGCGACGAUCCUUAGCUGGUCUGAGAGGAUGAUCAGCCACACUGGGACUGAGACACGGCCCAGACUCCUACGGGAGGCAGCAGUGGGGAAUAUUGGACAAUGGGCGAAAGCCUGAUCCAGCAAUGCCGCGUGAGUGAUGGAGGCCUUAGGGUUGUAAAGCUCUUUUACCCGGGAUGAUAAUGACAGUACCGGGAGAAUAAGCUCCGGCUAACUUCGUG
rnacentral:rRNA from 1 species